UAAAAAAAAAAAAGAGAAUAAAUUCAAGAUCAAAACUGGGUCAAAAAUUCUCCAAAUAGAAAAAGAGCAGACAAGGUAAGAAAUUCAAAGAAAAAAUUGAAAAAGAAAAAAACACCAGAGCAGAACAGCAAUGGCCCGAUACUAAAAACAGGGUCAGAAUGUUAAAAAAAUAAAAUAGAGCAUGGCUGAGAACAAAGCAGUAGCUAGGGUAGAGGAGAGAAAACAAAAGAAAUUCAAACAAGGCAAAGAUGACACCUAUUAAAAAAUGGAAAGAUCUGCAGUGGAUGACCUAUGAGUGGCAUUCUAACAAGAUUUUUCUGGUGAUGGAGAUGAAACUUCCGACAACUAUCAAGGGCAUCGGUAUUGGAUUCUGAUAGAUCAUGACAUUUCGAGUCUGUUGGUACUUGGUGGUGGCCUCUAGGUAUGAGAAAGCUCACAAGAGGUGAAGGUUUAUGAGGCUUGAAUUUUUUGGGCCUGGUGCCUCUGUUAGUAGGCAUGUGCCUCAAUAUGUUUAGAUAGAGUGUAUAGAGAAUUUUUUUUUUUUAAAGUAAGGUAAGGUAAAAUAAUAGAAGAUAAGGUAUUAAAAUCUCCUCAAUCCACCAAUUU
rnacentral:misc_RNA from 1 species